rnacentral:lncRNA from 1 species
CGAGCGGCGGGCCCGGCUGUGUAUCCUGCCGCCGCGGCCGGGCCCCGCGCGCGGCAUUCCACAGGCGCCCGGCGCUCAGGGCAGGCAGAGGGAGGAGGAGAAAUAGUGCCCCGCUCCCAGGGCGGAGGGAGACAGGGAGCGGAGAAGCGGCUCGAGCCCAGGGAAGGCUGGGCCGAGCUGGGCAGGGCAGGGCUGGGCAGGGCUGGCCGGGGCGGGGGGAGCCUGGUGGAGGUACCUUAUUGCGGAGGUGGGAAAGAAGGAUCCGAGCUCCCGGUCUGGGGACGAAGUUGGUGCCCUGAGGGGUGUAGAGGCGGCGGGGGAGGGGAUGCGACUGAAGGGAUCAGCCGGAGUCCCGCUUUGAGAAGGGGAGCGGGGGGGGGGGGGGGAGGGAGGGGGCAAAAGGCGAUUGUGACUCUCUCCCUCCUACUUCCCAUCCUGUUUAAUUUGGAGUUUCGUUGCCUGGCGAUUUUAAUUUUUGUUUUUAAUUUUUUUUUUCUUUUAACGCACGGCACCAACUGUAGCGAAACUCCGUCCUCCCAAACGCUCGAGUCGCCGAGUCCGGGAGGCGCUCGGGUUGCUGUGGAAAAUCGGCCCUGGCGCUGGGAUGGGGCAGCCGCCGAGGCCGGCCCGCGGCUCAUCCCGGCCCGUCGCUCAUCCCGGAGCUCGGGGGAGCCCGGGAAGGUGGCGACGGGCCCCGCUCACGUCGGCGGAAACGCGCUCCCGCUCUGCCCUUGGCAUAGCAAUCAUCCACCCACCAGCCUCCCUCUGCAGUGGACAACGUCUGGUGCCCACUAGUAAGAAAAAGAAAUGUCACCUGGACAACCCUGAAGCUGGAGAAUCAAGAAAUGAGGCUUUCCUUGUCAUGCUGUUUUCUCUUAGGACAGUUGCCCAUUUUGACAGUACUGGUCAAAAGAAGGGCAAGAAUGAGGGCAGCUGUCGGCAAGAGUUGGCAAAGAAAAUUCUGCCAGAUCAGGCCAGUGGACUGUGAUUGUUCAUCACCUUCCUGGGGAGUUAUUUGGUGCAGCUAUGAGCAGAAGGACCUUGUUCUUGACACCAGAAAUUUGAUCCCCAUUUAAGAUAAGAGCCAGAGAAAGUAUUCCUGAAGAUUGGCUUGAGCAAUAAAAAAAAGAGAAAAGUGUGUGGGGGAAGAGUUAAUUUCUUUGUCCACCUUCCUUUCUCAGCUGCCUUGUUCCACAACCUUGAGAAAAUCUGCUCUGCCUCGGUUUCACCCUCUGUAAAAUGGGAAUAGUAAUACUGACAGACCCCUCCUUUUAGAUCCCUGGAUCAAAGGUACUAUAUAAGUUCAAAGUGCUGUUUCUAUAGGGCAUUAUUGCCAAAUUCACUAUAAGCAAUUCCAUUGGGUACUUGAUAACAACAGUAGAAUCAGCCGAACGCCCUUGAUGCAUUGCAUGGUCCCAGAUACCUUUCAGAGCCUCUUUGUGUGCCAUCCCACCCCCUGAGGUCUGCAGGGAUGGGGCUUUUGGAGCCUGGAUUUUGCAGGAGCAAGAGGGGUAUGGUCCAUGUCUUUGCUUCUGGCCCCUGAACUGUGGACCGCUUUUCUUUUUGACCUGACGAGGACAACUGGAACUAGCCCUUUUAAAAACAGGUUUAAAACAUGCAACUUAUAUAUAUAUAUAUAUAUAUAUAUAUAAAUUUCAUAAGGCCUUUAGUACUUAAUGCUUAACUCUUGUUGAUUUUGGGAUGCUUUACUUCUGCAUGGGUUGUUGUAAUUUUAAUCUCUAUUUGUUUCACUGCAAAGUGGUUAGGAUACUUUUGCAUCUAGACACAUUGCUUAUAGAAAUUUGGUUCGUAUCAGCUUUGCAAUUUUUAGCUAUUAGGUAGCUAAACAUUUUCUAAAAUUGCACUUUAAAAAACCCCAAACCCCUUCUCCAGAAAAACAAGUAUCUUAAUAGGUGAAUUGCAGUUAUGAUUAACUUGUUGGUGUUCUUUCAAUUGUAAAAAUGUUUCUAAAAUACAUUUUGUAUUUCUAAUUUUUCUAAAAUAUAGUGUGUCAAGUUCCACUACCAAAACAAGGAGAGUAAAUGUUAUAUGGGAUAUUACAGUGCAGGGCUUCAUCAGUAAAUUCACGAACAGUCCGGUUAUUCUUCUUCUUCUACUUUUUUUUCCUUUCCUCCCCAAGAAGCACUGACUGUGUCUAUGCAGCUUCAGAAGUUUCCUCUGCGCUCUUUUAUACUUUAAUAGGUUUGUUUUGGUGUCAGUUCACUAGAAGAAUAUGCUGCAGACAUAUUUUUUUCGAAAGGUCAAGCAGUCUCCUAACAUGUCCAUUGUGUAUCCUUGCAGUAAGAAAUCCUCAGUGCAAAGGAGAGCUUCAUGGUUGAAUUUUAAAAGAUAAUGAUUUAAAUCUUUUUGUUAACCCUUUUUUUUUUUUUUUUUUUACAUCCUUAGCACUGCUUUUGGAGAGUCAACUUUUAGUACGGUAAAACGUAGGAAGCCCAUUAAUUAAAAAUAAGAAACAACUAAAGGUAAACUUAGAUGGUCACCUUUCCUUCUGAAAUCCUGGCAUUUAACUAUGUUUGUAAGGAACAUAGUAACAAAUGAGUAGCCAUGGUACUAAUAUGAGGACAAAGCAAAAUUACCAAUUACAGAAAUAUCUAGGGCUCUGGGCCUGAAUCUUUGAUUUCCCAUAUGGAUCUUAAAAAUGUAUGCAUAAUUGGCUUCUAACUGUGCAUGCUCUAGGAACAUAUUCAAGAAUCAACUUGAUCAAUCAAGAUAUUUUUUUCAGACACUGACUAAAUAUAUAUUCACUUGUCAGCAAAAAAAUGCAUCAUUCUUGUCCUCUUAACCAGAAAGACAAAAAGUAAAGGAGUCUUCUUCCAGCGAAGUGAGGUUGUAGUAUAUUAAAAAAGUCACAGUCUCACUUUCAUACAGGAGCGAAGAGGAGAAGAGACAGGGAUGCUUGCAGUAUUUAAACGCUCUUUGAGACACAGGACUAAUCAAUGUAACUUCUGCCUCAUACUUGAGACUACAUUUUACUAAUACACAUCAAGGUCUUUACUCUGUUAAAUUAAAUAGCUAUGCCAUUCAGGCUCAGUUCCAGUGGAAAAAAAUUGUUCUUUAUGGACAAAGAAAAAUAGAAUUAGUCAACAUAAAAAUAAUGGUGAGAUUUUACUUUUCUUGAAAAUUAUGCAAAAAAAAAGUGUGUGUAUAUACGGGUCAUUUUGAAGGAAAGAAAGACCCUACAAAUUAGUAAUAAAUUAGUGCAGAAGACAAUGAUCAAAAAAUCUUGUUAACUGGUUCAAAUGACAUAAAUUGAAGUAGUCUGUAAAUGUUGCUGCAAGCAUCAGAAAUAGAACUGUCAUUGGGCACCAAUUUGAUUAUUAAAAAAAGUUAUUCUUUCCCUCUGUGUCCCUGUUUUGGAUAAAUGCAAUAUACCUUAAUACUUCCUUCUUGAAUUCAGUACACAGGAAUUCCUACAACAGUUUAUUUAUCAGGUUUGUUUCAGAAACUAAGAAAAAGUCUCCAGCUGGUUUAAUAGCUGAGGCAUUACUCAUCAGAAUAUCUGAUUACUGGCAUAUUAAGCAAUGGAACAGACUAAACAUGAAGCAUUGCAUCUCCCAAUACAUAUAUUUUAAUUACUACUAGCCAAGAAAAUAUCAAGAUGGCUUUAUAUUCGAAAUGUAAUGCAUGAUUAUGUAAGCAAAAAUCCACAAUACUGAUCAAAACGUUGUCAUCAUCGCGUCUAUGGCAGCAUUUAAGUUUUCAUUUAAAAUUUCUGUGAGCCUGUCUCUUAAUGGUUAUGGGUCUCACACUCCUCAUUUAAAGCAAUUGCAAUGGUUGUGUUCAGGCACCCUGGCAGAAAAGACGUCCAAAAACAUAGGAAGAAACAAUAACAGUUGCAGAGGUGUGACACUGACCUCCUUCGUCCCUAAUCAAACUCUGUCCACAUGAAACCCCUCGUUUCCAAGAGUUGUAACCCUUUAAUUUUCAAUACUCUAAAUAUAUAGCUGUACUCAUAUAGGAAGCUGUCUUUAAGAAGGUAGUUGAUCUGUAAUUUUGCCUUUUUCUUUCAAUAGCUUUAGGCCAGAUUUCCUUAUUCCAAGUAAUUGGCUCUAAUAUAUAAUCUUAAAACAUAAGAUAAUAAAUCAUUAAGAGCCGAUUUUUCUGUUCAGACCACUCUUUCUUAAUUACCGUGCAGUCUGAAAAUAUGAGACUAUCGGAGUAGUAGUUUCAUUUGAACAAGGCUGCGCAUGGAUUAGGGCUUCAGAAUUUCCUUAUGCCGCAGAAAAAUUCCCUCUCCCUUACUAGCUGAAAGCCCUGAGCAGCUGUAAACACCUCAUGCUUUCUAGAGGCU